GGGACCGUAGCUCAGACUGGGAGAGCACUACGCUGAAGACGUAGGUGUCAUGGGUUCAAAUCCCAUCGGUCCCA
rnacentral:tRNA from 1 species